AUUGAACGCUGGCGGCAUGCCUUACACAUGCAAGUCGAACGGUAGAAGGAGCAAUCCUUCGAGAGUGGCGAACGGGUGAGUAAUACAUCGGAACGUACCUGGUAGUGGGGGAUAGCCCGGCGAAAGCCGGAUUAAUACCGCAUAAGACCUGAGGGUGAAAGCGGGGGACCGUAAGGCCUCGCGCUACCGGAGCGGCCGAUGUCAGAUUAGCUAGUUGGUGGGGUAAAAGCCUACCAAGGCGACGAUCUGUAGCUGGUCUGAGAGGACGACCAGCCACACUGGGACUGAGACACGGCCCAGACUCCUACGGGAGGCAGCAGUGGGGAAUUUUGGACAAUGGGCGCAAGCCUGAUCCAGCCAUGCCGCGUGCGGGAAGAAGGCCU
rnacentral:rRNA from 1 species